rnacentral:rRNA from 1 species
UACGUAGGUGGCGAGCGUUGUCCGGAUUUACUGGGCGUAAAGAGCGCGCAGGCGGUCGUACAAGUCGCGUGUGAAAGCCCCCGGCUCAACUGGGGAGGGUCACGCGAUACUGUUCGACUCGAAGGCAGGAGAGGGAAGUGGAAUUCCCGGUGUAGUGGUGAAAUGCGUAGAUAUCGGGAGGAACACCAGUGGCGAAGGCGGUUGCCUGGGGCUUUGCUGACGCUGAUGCGCGAAAGCGUGGGGAGCGAUCCGG